GGAUUGUAUGUGCUCCUUUUCUCCGACAGAGAGAGCAAAUCAACAGGACCUGAAGGCAGAUGAGAAGAAGCCUCUUCAGUAAGUUUCCAUGCAACAGAUUUAUGGAAACUCAUCGGCAGCCUCAUGGGCAACACAGGUAUGCACCUGUCUAUCAAGACAAUAACUUUCUUCAGGAGAGGAACAAACCCUUAGAACAGUUGCAAUGGUGAAUUGGUCCGGCAACAGUCCACUCUGUAAUAAAUCAACAAGCCUCCUUAAAGAAUAUUCCUCUAAACCACUCAUAGCACAGUCAGUUCUAGCCGGUUAAAAUAGCAUAAACGUGAAGAGUCUCGGAAGCAGAUGGGGAAACAUAGAGGAGGCACAACUUGAAGAAGUGGAGUUGACAAUGGAUCUUUGAGCAGAUAACAAGGGUUGGCAAAUGAGGGAUUCAGAUCAUUAUUGGAUAUAAUUACGUGACAGAGGAAGCAGUAACAAUAAUAGAUGGUCGUCGGGUUCAUGGAUUAAUUCUUGAAGAAUUCCGUUGUAACCUUUUCAUGCAGGAAGUUAGUUUGCUGCCAGCGUUUGCCGGUAUAAGUGAUUCUCCUACAUUAGCUGUUGCAGAUGUCGGCUAUUGCGUCAUGAGCUACUAUGACUUAUAAUGCAGGGAAUAGUCAAUGCCAUACUUGCUGUUCAUGGUACAUCAUGGCGCUGAAUGAGAAAGCUUGGAACAUGGUGGACGAUCGGGGUUUUAAUGAUGCUUUGGUUAUUUACACUGAAUGUUUUUGGAUUCAGUUGGUUUCUUGU